rnacentral:sRNA from 1 species
UCCUUUGCUUACAUCUAUCACAUUGGAUC